GACGAACGCUGGCGGCGUGCCUAACACAUGCAAGUCGAACGGAAAGGCCCUGCUCUUGCGGGGCGCUCGAGUGGCGAACGGGUGAGUAACACGUGAGUAACCUGUCCCUGACUUUGGGAUAACUCUAGGAAACUGGGGCUCAUAUCGGAUAUGAGAUCUUGCUGCACGGUGGGGGUUGGUAAGUUUCGGCGGUUGGGGCUCGGCUCGCGGCUUAUCAGCUUCUUAGUGGAGUAGGGGCAUACCAAGGCUGUGACGGGUAGCCGGCCUGGGAGGGGGGACGGCCACAUGGGGACUAAGGGACGGCCCAGACGCCUACGGGACGCAGCGGUGGGGAGUAUGACGCAGUGGGCGGGAGCCUGAUACGGCAGCGCCGCGUGCGGGAUGACGGCCUACGGGUGGAAAACCGCUUUCGCCUGUGACGAGGCGUGAGUGACGGUAAUGAAUAAGGAAGCACCGGCUAAUUACGUG
rnacentral:rRNA from 1 species